GAUGAACGCUGGCGGCGUGCCUAACACAUGCAAGUCGAACGAAGCACCUUACCUGAUUCUUCGGAUGAAAGUUUGGUGACUGAGUGGCGGACGGGUGAGUAACGCGUUGGUAACCUGCCCUGUACAGGGGGAUAACAGCUGGAAACGGCUGCUAAUACCGCAUAAGCGCACGAGGAGACAUCUCCUUGUGUGAAAAACUCCGGUGGUACAGGAUGGGCCCGCGUCUGAUUAGCUGGUUGGCAGGGUAACGGCCUACCAAGGCAACGAUCAGUAGCCGGUCUGAGAGGAGGAACGGCCACAUUGGAACUGAGACACGGUCCAAACUCCUACGGGAGGCAGCAGUGGGGAAUAUUGCAGAAGGGGGGAAACCCUGAUGCCGCAACGCCGGGUGAGUGAAGAAGUAUUUCGGUAUGUAAAGCUCUAUCAGCAGGGAAGAUAAUGACGGUACCUGACGAAGAAGCACCGGCUAAAUACGUG
rnacentral:rRNA from 1 species